UUAUAUUAUUUUAAAUAUGAAUGAGGACACCAUCACCAAUUGUGAAGUUUGCUUAUCGGGCAUACAUGUAUAUCACUAUAUUUGGUUUUAUUUUCUAAUGAAAGAAUUUUAUUUUAAUAGUACCAUCAUUAACAUCCAUAGCAAGUAUUUCAGCCACUGUACCACAGAAAUGUUCAGGUUCAAAUACUAGUCUUCUUGUUGGAUUGACGUUUCUAAGUUUCUUUUUGGGAGUCCUUUUAUCUUCAUCUAUAUCUGUCGUCCUCGGAAAGAUCAGAAAUCCAAAGGCACAGGUAACCAAAGGAACAUCCAGACAUUACGAAGAACCGGCGGAACUCCAAGCAACACCCAGAGAUAAACAAGCAUUGGUAAGGAAAAUGCUGCACCAGUCAAGCAAACAUUGCUUUACAACAUAGCAUUAUCAUAAUAAUGAAGCUGUAAACUCCCUUUAGUCUUACUUACUUGAUGAU